CGCAGAAGUGGCGAAUCAAAGUUGAUGUAAACCUUAGCAAAAAAAUACCACUUAUUCCUGUCAUUUGUGUUGGUGGUGAAUGAAACUCCCAAGACUUUUCUUUGUUCCAGCUGACAGUCAUCUGCUGGCCUUCAUGGUGUGGUUGUUUUUUAUAUUUAUCCUGCUGUUACUCCGCCUUGGAACCGGAUGAACAAUCCUGGUCACACCUCUGACCCACGGCUCCACUGAGAUACAGCUACCAGGCACAACAACAGCCAGAGAGAAAAGAAAAUCACAGACAAAAACUGUUCUUUCCUGUGGCCAGACUAAGUCGAGAUCUGAGAAUGAUGCUUCCCCCAGCCACAUCUUCUGCCAACAAAGUAUUUCUACUGCUCAAAUAAGGUUUUUAAAACAUGGCAGUGUAGGUCUGACGAACCCAAAAAUGGCCUUGCAGAGUUCUGGAUGCCACAGAGAAGAAGGUGGAGGAGCGGGGACAGCAGAAAAGAAAAAAGGAAGAAUCCCAGCACAGGGGUCAAUGGUGUUUAUUCUGAAAAAAUGGAACAGAAACAGGGACCAAACAGUCCAGCCCAGAAUGAAUCUGGUUACCUUUACAAGCCCCUCUGCUGGCUCACUCACUGGGGGAACACAAGGGAAAUGCAGGGGUUGACAGAGGGGGCAAAAGAACCUGUUGUAUUCCACUUUAUUUUUUGUCACUUUGUGAUUGUGAUCGUGCUUUCCCUUAUACAAAUAAUAAAUACAUAAUUGGUUAUAAAAAAAAAAAAAACAUACUGAAUUAAUCUAUUAAUAGUU